rnacentral:lncRNA from 1 species
GAGAAGGUAAAAUAAGGGGAGCUUAUUUAAGGUAAAAUAAGCUCCCCUUAUUUAGGUAAAAUAAGGGGAGCUUACCUUCCCAACAGGAGCUGAGAUCCUCCAGUUAAGGAGAAAGGAGGGGGGAAUUAGCUGCGUGUUCAGUUCUUUCCUUUUACAUGCGUGGCUGUGUCAUCAAUACGAAGGUCAGGCUGGACCUGAGGUUUCUUCACAUUUAUUAUUCAGAAGCACUCACUUUGACUAGAAAGGACCUGCAAACAAUUCAUGCAUUGGGCAGCACCCCAUCCGGCAAAUAGAAAGGCCCUCCUCUAUGGUCUAGAAAAAGGACCAGGUUUUAAAGGUGGAAAGGGGGUGGGAAAAGGAAAUUAUUAGCAAAGAAUGCAUUGUUUCAGGCAAGGUCGCUCUCCUUUCAUGCUGACCUGGUCAUUUCAGGUUGACUGGUUAAAGGUAACAUUUCUGGGAAGGUAGGACUGCAAUUAGGUUAGGUAAUAAGUUGGUUUGGUGUCGGUGACGUGGGCUUUACACAGGGAUUCCAUUAGGGGCUUGCUGUUUCUUUUUAACAGUGGAAAGGAAUACGUCAUCUCUUAAGGGCAGGCAUUGCUAUCCAAAGAGGCUUUAAGCAAACGUGUUUUUUUUCCCCCUCUUCUGUUGUUCCUAAACUAAAAUUAAAAUCUCUUUACUGGUUGGAGAAAAAAAAAAAAAAAAGGAAAAACACCUCUUCGAUUUUAUCAUGAAUUAAAACUUCAACCUUAUAUAUUAUUGAAAUAGUAUGUCUUUAAUUUUGAGGUUAUUAUUUUGGUUCCUUUAGAGCUGACAUACAACUUUUGUUUAAAAUGGGCAUUGUGAUGAUUUGCUAAAAAUAUAUAUCUUGAGAAAUGAUUACUGCAGUAAGAGAUUUCUUUUCUACAAAGAUCCAGGAAUGCAGUUACCAUUCAUUCCUGGAUGGAACUGGGAAAAAGACAGAUGACAACUGGGAAAAAUUAUCAGGACAUUGUGAAUGGAGACAUGAAGAAUUCAGAAUUUCACAGCGGACUUUCAUAGUCGGUACUGGCUCUUCCUGUUUUUUUUUUUUAAAAGGCAUGUCUUUCAGAAUUGAGUAGUUUUUCUCAAAAGGAACUAUCACCCUUCCCACAAGUCUAGGAGGCAGUUGGGAAUAUUUGGAAAUGCUUUUGUAAAGCGUAACAAGGGCGAGCAGAUAUAAUUAUGCUCAGUAUUGAUCCAAAAGGAAGGUAACCUUUCACUUAUGAGAGGAAAAAAGUCCCUAUCUUAUAGUAUAAUUUAUAUUAGGGUUACACUCACUAUCAAGUUAGAUUUAUUGUGAAAUUUAAAGCAGACACCCAAGCCCUGAUUGCAGCUGGCAAAGCGCCCUCUAGUGGCGCUUUCCCGAGCUCGCUAAGUCCCCCAAAGCCACACUCAGGCCCUUGAUAGGGUGCCCUCCUGAAACCUCCACCACACUCCUGGGUCUUCAGUGAGUUUGCAGAAUGACUCAGGACUAUUUUCAAUUUAAUCAUAAGUUUAAGAAUUUUUUUUAAAAAAGCUUAAUUGUACGUAGGUUUUCAAAGAUGGCUUUUUGUCACUAUCUGGAAAACAUGGUUAUAGGCUUUUCAACGGACGAAUUCUCUUUAGAAUACGAAAAGAAUUAACAUGUUCCCUAGAAGUCAAACACUUUAAAUACAUGUUAAUAUCACGAAUUCUAAUUUUCUUGAAUUCCCUGACCUCUCCGUUCCAGGGUCAGUUUUAUACCUUGGUCCAAAUGGCUGGAGAGACCAAUUUUAUAUCUUGGUCCAAGAUGGCAGUGGCAGCCCUUACACCAGGGCAGUUUUUCCCAGAGGCACCCAGCGCUGCCACCUACCCCACAGCUCACUUCAAAGCCGGAUCCUGAACCCACUGAGUGAGGCCAGGGAUGGAACCUGCAUCCUCAAGGAUCCUAGUCAGGUUUGUUUCCACUGAGCCACAAGGGGAACUCCCCCGAGCACUUUUCUGACACCGAUGUCUACACACAAAGAUCUAUGUAACACUGGGUAUAGCCUUUUUUUGGGGUCUUUUUAGGGCUGCACACAUGGCAUAUGUAUGUUCCCAGACUAAGGGUUGGAGCUGUAGCUGCUGGCCUACACUACAGCCACAGUAACAUGGGAUCCAAGCUGCGUCUGCAAACUACACCACAGCUCACAGCAAUGCCAGAUCCUUAACCCACUGAGCAAGGCCGGGGAUUGAAACUGCAUCCUCACUGAUACUAGUCAGAUUCGUUUCUACUGACCCACAAUGGGAACUCCCCUAAUUUUUUUUUUGAAAGUGUGUAAAAAGAUGUGUGAAGAGAGAAGGAGAAAGAGAUUGUAGAUGCAAAGAUUUGGGGGUAUGCUAGACGUCUAUAAAAUACUCAAGUUAAUGAUAUAAAUGUAUGUAUUAGGAUAAAUGUAGGUGUAUUGAUCAAACUGAGAAAUAGUUCUGAAGAGAUAUAUUUAGCUAAAUAAAAAAAAUGGAUUACUUCACUAGGAGAUAGUGAAUCUUUAAAACCUAAAGCAAUGAAUCACAAAAUAUAGUUUUAACUACUAUUGAAAUAAUACAAGGACUCAGUAACAGUUUUUUGGGUUUUUUGUUUUGUUUUGUUUUGUUUCCUUUUUUGGCCAACCUUCGGCAUAUGGAGUUUCCCAGCCAGGGAUCAGAUCUGAG